UUUCUGUCUGCCUCUCAUUGGCAAACAUGACAUUUCAGCAAUUUCUCUAAAGAGGAAUGACUGGGGGGUAUGUACAGCAGGCAUCAUGUAAGAAAAACUCACACCUCACGACAUAUUUGUUUGAUUUAUUCAGCAGACUUCAGCAAAGGAAAGAUGUGAAAGCAACCCUUGAUUGUUGAUGUUCCUUAAACAACCAAGUGUGAACUGUGUGGGUUCACUUAGAUGAGGAGUUUCUUCUGCCUCUGCCACCCCUGAGACAGCAAGACCAACUUCUCUUCCUCUUCCCCGUUAGCCUAUUGAACGUGGAGGCCACAAGGAUGAAGAUCUUAAUGGUGAUCCACUUCCACUUAAUAAAUAAUUUUUUGUUCAUUCUGAAAAUCACAUCGCCAGAUCCAACACCUUUUUAUCCCAAUCACCAGUACAAGCCACCCGUAUCAGUGUACACUGUGGCUGACCGAUCCAUAGUGAUGCUUUGAGCACAAGGAAGGACUUUCUGGAAUCUACUUAUCUGACCAAGAAAGCUUCUUUCCAAAAGAAAUGCAAUUGUCUUGAGACUUCUUCCCUAGGGAUCUGAUCAACUAACCAGAAAAGAGCAACCACCAGAGAAGAGACUGUGGGUGUCAUUGUGACUGGCUGCUACCUCCCCAUGAGUCUUCUAAAAUAAAACCUGCAAAUUCACAUCUUCCCCAUGCUUCCAGAGAAUGCAUAUUCUUCCUUUGAAAAAAGAAAACCAGGUAGUCGUACAGUGUCCAGAAGGCAAAAGGACAAGUAUGCACUGCCCUACUUACCUACUUUCCACACUGCUGCACAGGAAAAUCUGACAGAGGACAAUAACAAACAUCUCACCAGCUCAUGCGUUCUUUUUUGAUCCUAAUUCCGAGAGACUCACCAAAGACAUGAAGAGAAAACAAACAAUACUUUUCUUGGAAAUAUUGUAAUUGCUGGUACAUUUGUUGUUCUGGCAUAAAGUAGAAAUUGUCAGUUACCAGAACAAUACUCAGUGAACUUAUGAAUAUAUGGUAAAUAUUAAACACAUCCCACUUGGAUGAGAAGAUAUGUGAGUCGAUGAGUAUAGCUAAGUCUAAAGUUAGAUGUGUUCCAUAAACAUAGUGUUUAUGGAGUUGGUGCAUAUUCAC
rnacentral:lncRNA from 1 species